rnacentral:rRNA from 1 species
UAAGGAAUAUUGGUCAAUGGACGCAAGUCUGAACCAGCCAUGCCGCGUGAAGGAUGAAGGUCCUCCGGAUUGUAAACUUCUUUUAUCUGGGACGAAAACGGGAUUUUUAUCUCAAUUGACGGUACCAGAGGAAUAAGCACCGGCUAACUCCGUGCCAGCAGCCGCGGUAAUACGGAGGGUGCGAGCGUUAUCCGGAUUUACUGGGUUUAAAGGGUGCGUAGGUGGGCUUAUAAGUCAGUGGUGAAAUCUCCGAGCUUAACUUGGAAACUGCCGUUGAUACUAUAGGUCUUGAAUUAUCUGGAGGUAAGCGGAAUAUGUCAUGUAGCGGUGAAAUGCUUAGAUAUGACAUAGAACACCAAUUGCGAAGGCAGCUUACUACAUAUAAAUUGACGCUGAGGCACGAAAGCGUGGGGAUCAAACA